GGGGGGGGGGGGGGGGGGGGGGGAGUUAUGGAUUUUUUUCUGGACAAACCUUUUUUUUCGCCUGCGGCGAAAAAACAAUCUAUUUUCUCCAAAAACUGGAAACAAACUUUUUUUUCCAAAAACACCCAUAGCCCCCCCCUCCCCCCCUCCCCCAGAAAAUCAAAU
rnacentral:sRNA from 1 species